GAAUAUCAGACAGCCAUGGGAUAUCAAAAUUAGGGCACCUCCUCUUCUAUUAAGGUUGGAUGAGGCAACCCAGCAGGAGAAAGGGUCCCAAGAACAGGCAACAGAGUCAAAGGAUCAUAUAUUUCAAGAUGUGAGCACGCAGCUACUGCCUCAGCACCAUGCCUGCUUGCCUGUUGCCAUGUUCCUUAUCAUGAGGAUCAUGACCUCAACCUCUGCAACUGGAGCCCACAACAAACUAAAAUACGGAUCAAACCUGUUAGGAUCCAAGGAAGCCCCCAAGAAAGAUCAGCAGUCAGGUAUGCAAUUUAGCAAGAGCUUUUAUUUCCAGCAUGAUAGUGUGGCAAAUAGCAACCCCAAAGUGGGGUCACAAGCUCCUUUUAAGCAAAGUUAGAGGAAUUCC